ACGGCGAAUUGUAGUUUCGAGAAGUACUUUCCCGGCGCGUCGGGUUUGCCUAAGUUGCUUGGAACAGCACGUCAUAGAGGGUGACAACCCCGUACGUGGCAAUGCCCGAGCGCUCGCGAUGUGCUUUCGAAGAGUCGGGCUGUUUGGGAAUGCAGCCCAAAACGGGUGGUAAACUCCAUCUAAAGCUAAAUACAGGCACGAGACCGAUAGCGAACAAGUACCGUGAGGGAAAGAUGAAAAGGACUUUGAAAAGAGAGUUAAAAAGUACGUGAAACCGUUGAAAGGGAAGCGAAUGGAGUUAGCAAUUCGCCCUGCCAGAUUCAGUUGCUCGUGCUUCGCGACGUGCGCGCUCUCGAUCCGCAUGGACGAGACGUGUGCGGAUGCGACGUGCGGUCGGCGCACUUCUGGCGAGCGAGCGUCAGCGUCGGCUGCCGGCGGGCGACAAGGACGCGAGGAAGGUGGACCGGCCUUUACGGUCGGUUGUUAAGCCUCGUGCUCGCAUAGCCCGACGGCGACCGUGGCCCUGCGACGCGUGCCUGGCUGGCGGCUCGUACGAUCGGUCUGGCAUAACGA
rnacentral:rRNA from 1 species